rnacentral:misc_RNA from 1 species
GAUGAAGAACGCAGCGAAAUGCGAUAAGUAGUGUGAAUUGCAGAAUUCAGUGAAUCAUCGAAUCUUUGAACGCACAUUGCGCCCCUUGGUAUCCCGGGGGGCAUGCCUGUUCGAGCGUCAUUUCACCACUCAAGCCUGGCUUGGUGUUGGGCGACGUCCUCUUUGGGGACGCGCCUCGAAACGCUCGGCGGCGUGGCACCGGCUUUAAGCGUAGCAGAAUCUUUCGCUUUGGAAGUCGGGGCCCCGUCUGCCGGAAGACCUGCUCGCAAGGUUGACCUCGGAUCAGGCAGGGAUACCCGCUGAACUUAAGCAUAUCAAUAAGCGGAGGA